UCUCCCAUUCUCCCAAAUUAUGUUUUAAAGCUUCCCCUCAAGUGAGAAGUUCUUCCCGUUCAGAAGCCCCAACCCUAACCACUAUUUACACUAUUUUGCAGUCGCCCAUUGCCUUUCCGCCCUUCCCCGCUUUUGUGAUUACACAUUUGUCUUCAAUCACUGUGUGGUAGGUUUCUUUUGUGGAAGGAGAGUUUCAGUGAGGAGGGUGGUGGUUGACGUGAGGGAUUACAUUGUUGGGAGGGGCCUAUUUGAACAUUGUCGUGGCAUGACGAGGGUGCUGUGGCAGCGUGACCAGGGCUUCCACUAUCGCGACGAGGCCAAUCUAGGGGCUCUAUGACGAAGGGGCUCUCACUACGUGAGGAAGGCUUCGACUAUCGUGAAGGAGGCUAUUGGAGGGGCUGAUACACCUAGGUGGUGUUGCUGCGGUAGAGGUGAGUUCUGUAUUUUGUGAAUGAUGAAGAAUUUGUUGAUGAAGGGUUGAUGAAGAAUUUGAUGUGUCGUUGUUAAAUGUAUGCAGUGUUAUGUAUUUUUCUCUAAAUUGGUUUGGUACUUUGUUCCGUGAAUGAACAAGAUGUUGAAAUUAUGUGUAGUAGGUUUGCUUUGAAACCUUGGCCCCUAUCGGAUCCAUUUGAUUUUACUUGAUGAACAAUAAACCUUUCAUUUGUGAAUGAAUUUGGUUGUUGAAUUUGAGGCUUAUUAUAUGUAUUUGUUGUUGUAAUUAGCCUUAUUAUACGUAAUGGGUUGAAGACUGAGCAAUCAAUGGUUGACUAAACAUAUACAAUUUCAUCACUACAUUAACCCUACAUUAAAUUCAUCAGUAGGGAAGAUGAAUUUAAUUUAAUGAUAUGUUUAGUAGUUUUUAACAUUAUUAGAGUUCUUUAGGCUGUUAGUUAUGUUGGAAGUUGUAUUUUGUGGAAUUGAAAUGAAUGCUAUGUUAUUAGGUUUUGGAAUGGAAGGUUUGAAUCUAAGGGAUUCUUUGGCUGUUAUGAUAUAUCUGGGUGGGAUUAAUCAGAAUUGGUAAUAACUUUAAGUUUACAUGUUUCUCUACAAAUCAAUUUGGUUUGAUAUGGUUGUAUGUGUCUGGGACUGUCCUAAGCUUUAUUUAAUUAUCUUUAGUGUAAUUAAAGGUUUGGAUUCAGUUUCUUGGGUAGUUUAAAUAUGUUUGGGUAUAUCUGGAGCUGGUUGGAAUGGAAAUAGAGAAUUAGAGGUAGGUUCAAACUGUUUAGACACAUUUUCGUUUUGAAUAUAAUAUCAUUGCAUUAAAGUUAUUACUUUGUGCUAAUGUAAUUUGUUCAUUAUUGUACAAGGGCUGCAGUUGAAGUCAAGUGUCCAAGAUUUCAUCAUUUCCAAGUAGGUAAUGUUCGUCCUCUUCUGCUUGCGUUGCUUCAUUUUGGGUAUUAAUUGCGUUAUGAAUUGAGACCGAAUUACAAUUGAAUUUGUUUUAUAAAUUUCACAAUUUGAGCAAUUUUAGCAUGUAUGAAUUGUCUGUUUUGCUUAUAGCCUUGAUGGGAAUUAAAUUGUGCAAAUUGAGCAUGGAAACUUAUGUAGAUGCUUUAUUUUAGUUUGUUUCUGAUUGAUCUGUCUAAAAGCCUAUAGAUUGAAGACACUUUUGUGUUCUCUAAUUUCAAAAACUAUAUCAAUUGAUAACAAACCUAAUGAAAGAGGAGAUAAAGUACUUGCUUUAAGGUUGCCACUAAGAAUAAGAGUGGGAACAAGCUAAAUAUACAUAGUUGGGAUGUUUGAGAUAACAUUUAACAUGACCUCAUAAAUAAAGAUAAAGGUAAAUGCAACAAAGUAUAGUUAUCAAAACUUGAACUGAAUAGUUUAGUAUCAACUACCACUGAGUUAAAGCCUACUUACCUACUUUGUUAUCUUUUUUUGAUGAUAAAAAGAAUAUUGUUUCACAUCACAAGUAUGGACUGAUACUGCCUCUCACCUUGUAAAGUAAGGUGAGAGGCAAAGAGAUGAUGUUCUCUAAGAAAGACCUUUUUGACAUGGCUAAGGUGCUCUUGAAGACCUUGACUAUAGAUUAAGAUGUCAUCGAAGUAGACCAUUACAAACCUCCCUACGUAUUCCCUAAGGACAUGGUUCAUCAAUCUCAUGAAUGUACUAGGAGCAUUGGUGAAGCCAAAGGGAAUGACUAACCAUUCAUACAAACCAAACUUGGUCUUGAAAGCGGUUUUCCAUUCAUCUCCUUCUUUAAUUCUUAUUUGACGAUAUCUGCUUUUGAGAUCAAUUUUCGUAAAAUUGUUUGCUACAUGUAAGUCAUCCAACAUGUCAUCCAAUCUAGGAAUGGGGUGCCUAUAUUUGACAGUUAUGUUGUUGAUGACCCUACAAUCUGUGCACAUUCUCCAGGAUCCAUCCUUCUUUGGAACCAACAACACUGGCACAGCACAAGGACUUAGGCUCUUUUGGAUCCACACUUUAUUCAAUAAUUCAUUAACUUGUUUCUUUAUUUCUUUUGUUUCCAUGGGGUUGGUCCUAUAGGUUGGCCUAAUAGGAAGGCUUGCCCUAGGCACCAUAUCUAUUUGAUGUUCUACUCCCCUCAAAGGUGGUAAACCAAUUGAUACCUCUUUAGGAAAUAAAUCAUCAAACUCUUUUAAAAGUUUUUGCAACCCCUAUGGUAGAGAACCAAGUUCAUAAUUUACUGAAACAAGUGCCUCUUUGCAAUAGAGAAAAAAAGGAGGUUGUCCAAGCAAAAUAUUUUUAGAAAUUUUCAAAGUUUGGGGUUGGACAACUUCUUUGGUUGAGGCAUUAUUUACCAAACUAAUAUUCUUCUCUUUUUUCUCUUUCCUAUUUUCCUUUUUUUUUCUCCAUCCAACUUCUUCUUAAGAAUUAUUUGGUCCUCUCUCACUUGUAAUGGUGUAAGAGGACACAAAACAAUCUUCUUGCCCUUGUGUUGAAUGGUGAUUUUGUUGGUGACUCCAUCAUGUAGAGCUUGCUUAUCAAAUUGUCAAGGCCUUCCAAGUAAUAUGUGCCCAGCUUCCAUUGGUACUAUAUAACAAACAAUUUGGUCUUCAUAUUUUCCAAUGGAAAUUGGUACACUCACUUGUUCUUGACUACUAUUCCUUCAUCCUCUUUGAUCCAUUGAAGUUUAUAAGGUUUAGGAUGAGGAGUAGUAGUUAAGCCUAGCUUCUCUACCAUUCUUGAACUGAAACAGUUACAAUAAAAGCCACUAUCCACAAUCAUUGAACAUGUCUUUUCAAAAACUUUACAUCUUGUGUGAAAUAUGUUCUCCUUUUGUGAGUGUUCUAGCUCAGCAUGUUUACUUUCAAGGAGUCUCCUUACCAUGAGUAAGUCACCAUCACAAGGUAAAGCUUCUUCUUCUUCAGAAGUGGAUGUUUCAGACUCACUAUAUGAAGAACCCUCACUUUCACUCUUGCUCAAGAAUGUAAGUUGACCUUCUAUUGCAACACUCAGAUGCAUAGUGCCCUUUUUUUCCCCACAUCUAAAGCACUUAGUCUCCUUAUUUCUAUUGUCUCUUGAAGGUUCUUUCAUUUUCUCUUUCUUUUCUUUCUCUCUCUCUCUCUCUCUCUCUCUCUCUCUCUCUCUCUCUCCUUAGAUCCUUCAUACCUUGGCUUAGAUAGACUACCCUCCCUCUUAUAUUCUUUCUUAUGGAUAGAACUAGUAGGGUAGUCCUUUUUAGUGGAGCCUUUCCUCUUGAGUUGUUGCUCUACUCUUACACAAAGUUGGACUAAUUCAUUGAGAUCAUUAUAAGUUAAGAGUUCUACCUUAUCUCUUAUAUUAUAGUUAAGUCCACUUUGGAACCUAGCAAUUGUUAUCCUUGGCUCCACCCUUAUCCCAGCUCUCAACAUAAGUAACUCUAUUUUUUGCCUAUAUUCCUCAACACUCACGUUUCUUUGUUGGAGUUUAUGGAGUUUUUACAUUAACUCCCUAUCAUAAUAAGCUAGCACAUGCCGUCUUCUUAAGGCAAACCUCAACUCAUUCCAAUACCUAAUGGAAGGUAGGUGUCUUAAUCUAAGGUCUUUUACCAAGGUUGUCCACCAAUAUAAGGCAUAGCCUUGAAAGGUCAAAGAGGUCAUAAUUACUCCCUUCUUAUCAUCUAUUUGGUGCCACUCAAACAAUUUCAACUUUCAUCUCCCAUUCCAAAUAUUCUUCCACAUCAUCUUUUCCAUGGAAGGAAGGAAGGUCAAUCUUGGUUUCACUUGGGUGAUGUUCUCUCAUUCUAUGAUUUCUCCUAGGAGGUAUUUGAUAGUGGUCAUCAUUGUGAUUACUACUAUAUUGCUCAUGCUCACUAGGUGGAGAGGAUGUAUCUCCAUGGUAUUUUAUUCUUCUAUGUGAAGACCCUUCUUUCUUUUUACCCUUGUUUUGAUUGAACAAAAGUUGACCAGUCAUCUCCUUGAGCUCAUUAAUCUCUUUGUCCCUUUGUUGGAACUUUUUUUCAAAUUCUUCUCUUAGUUGUGAGCUCUCACUGUUAGGUCUCAUACUCCCAUAGACACUAGAUUGACUCAUUCUCGUUAAGUAUGUAGAAAUGGUUUUCACAAGGUUUUCAAAACUUGCACAAGUAAUGAGUGAAAAGAUUUUUACAAACUUUCUUGUUUUUGGUGAAGGAUUUCUAAAGAGAUUCUAAAGGUAUAAAAUGUUUCCAAAUAGCUCCCAGGAAGAAGAGGUGAUCCACAAUUGGACAAGCUUAAAAACCAAGUUCUUCCCAGCCAGAGUUUCCUUAGAUUUGUCUUUUACCUUAGGUAGAAAUCUUUCAAAAUAUUUUCAAAUGCUUAAUGAAAUGCUCCUAAAAAUCAAAAGAAAGGUUUAACUAAAUGUUAUGUUAUCCUAUAUACCACGGAGACUUAAAACAAAAAAGUCAAGCAAGCAAUUUAAAGAAAGCAAUAAAGAUGCAAAAUGUAAAUGCUAGACGACCCUAAGUGAAAGUGCAAGUGACACUUGGAGUCCCUUGACACACUUUCACACUAAGGAAACGAAAGCAAGAUAUUACAAUGUUCAAAGGUGAGCUUGGAAUUGCUUCAAGACCAUUUUCCCAAGUCACUUAGCCAAAAACCAAAAUGAAAUUUAAACUACAAAGGUUCCGUGAUAUAAAGGCUCAAACAAGCUCAAAAUAUUGCCUAAAACUAGUAUAGGCUUCAAGCUUUGGCUGUUCUUGUGUGCUACUCAAAAAGAGUAUGUUGGUUGAGCUUUUUCUGGUGUGAAAUGCUGUUGGAAACAACAACUCUACAACUGUUGGACAGGUUGCUAAAACUGCUGUAAAGCCCUCCUUGCUCCAAUUUCAAUCCCCUAACCACUUGAAGCUACCAUAGUAGGUGUAGGUUUCUGCCUCUGGAUGCCUCAAUCAGAAUCCAUAGCUACUCCAAAACUCACCAGAAACACACCAAACAGUUUUAAAAAUCUGCAUCAGUUUUCAGCAUAUGGUUUUUCUGAAUUGAAAAACUUGGAAGCCAAAAAAUGAGGAAUUCAAAUGGAACUCGCAGAAUUAAAAAUAGAAGAAACAGUGGACUGGAAUACUGAAACAGAAAGCACAACAAAAUGCAGAAAUGAAAUAGAAAAUGGAGGAAAUAGCUUAGCUCCUGGUGCUUGGACGGCCUAAGCUCAUGAUACCACUUGAUGGAAACAUGCCCAGGCUUGGAACUCACAGGUAGCAACUCCAAGACAACAAGCUUUGAUGGUGCAGCGGAAUGAAUGAAAGUGAGUGAUGUUUUGGUGUUUUUUAGUGGAAAGAGUGUGUGUAGAGACCUCACAGCUUAGAAGGCCUUCCUACUAUGGAAGGAAGUUAGAGGAAAGGGUUGAGAAAAUGAAGAGAAAGAGUGGCUCAAGAGCAAUAGGGCUGGAAAACAAAUUCAACAGCAUUUUACUAAGACCAAAAGUGAAAAAUUACAAUGGAGAGGCCCUCUUAUCUAUAGGUGAAAAAGGGCCUCAAAUCUGGUCCAAAUUCCCUCCAAAAUUCAAAUGAAACUCGAGCUUGGAGGCCAAGCUAGUUGGGUCACGUUUCCCUCUCCAAACACACAAGGAAAGCAUGUGCAUUUCAAAAUCUGAUGCGGCUGGGCCUGGCACGUUUUUGGCUGGGCCAUUUCAAAAUCCGGAAGGUAUUUUUCUUCAUGAUUCCAAUCCGGAAGCCAACUGCUAAAUCCAGAAUUCACUCCAUUUUCUCCCCUUUUUAGCUCCUUUGCUUUCCUUGGCUUCUCAAGCUUCUUGGGUAGCUCAACCAUGAUCUCUAAGCUUUAUUAGACCCUAUAAAACAAUAGUAUAAAUGUUUAUGGCAGGAGAAGAAGGAUUUUUUAUAAAUAACCUUCCAUAGAAGUAAAGUGUUAAGUGAUUCUUCUUCUUGAAUCUUCCAUGCUAUGGUUCUAGUAAGAGGUGCAAUGUGAUUCCUUGAUGGUCUUUCAUCAAUCAAUCUGUGUUGGGGAAUAAUGUUAGUCAUGAAGUGCUCUCGCAAUUUGGUUUCACGUAGAGAAGAGGUUUGUUUCAAACGUGGUGGAUGUUCGGAUAUGGAAGAUAAUUUAAUAUACCAGAAAUGUUACCCACAAAUUAGUUUGAUAAAUUUAUUAUUAUUAAUGAUUUUAUUUCUUAAAAUGGUUCAAAGAAUAGGAAUAUAAAAUAAAAAUGUAUUUAUGCAUAUUAUUCAAACAUACGUAAUGGGAAAUAUUCAAAUUAAUUAUGUAUAAAUAUUUGUAUGGAUAAUAUUUAACCUUUUAAAUAAGAUGUGUGGGAAAAUAUAAAAGGUAUUACAAUUCUUUAUAUUUUGUUUGCUUAGUUAAGAUAAAUAUUUGAAGUUAGAGUUAUUUUUUCUAAGAGCUAAUAUUUUGAAUUAAGCGAAUAUUUCUAAGUCGUCACAACAUAAUCUAAAUCACUAAANAAAAUACAUUUUAAAAUUAAAUACUAUAAAAGAGUUUAAAAAUAAAAAAUGUUAAUUAUAUUCAAACGAAAUAUACAAUACUACAAUAUCUAAACUUUAACUUACAAUGUUACGAGAGAAUGAAGAACCAUGAGAGAAUAACGUUGCAAGAGAAAGAGUGACACCAAAGAGGGAGACACUAAAUAGAAGAAAGAAUUGUGAGGCAUCAUAGGAGAAAAUCAGAAGUAUGCGUGGCAGCCAUCAUCUAGAAUUUUUUGUUUGUCUGUUGUCUUGCUUUUCAAACCUUUCGUUGAUAUUGUUGUGUGCUCUUUAACUUUCUUUUUAUCCCCUUUGCAUUCCUUUCUAAUUCUAACAUCAAUUACAUUUUCACUUUAAUUGCAUUAUGGUUUCCAACUCAAAGUGUUCUUAAAAUAAUUUCAAGAAAGGAAAUUUUAAGAAAAACCAUUUUAAACCAAUUCAUUCUCUCUUUAUGUAACAGAGUCAUCCAUUUUUUUUCUAAAAGAUAUCCAACAAAGAAUAAAGAAUGUAUGUGUAAUAUAGUAUUAGUCCGAAAUGUGACCUUAAGCGUCGGCCUACACAAACGUGAUAACUAACAACCAAAUACGCUAUGUGUGACUCCAGGACGGUACCGUGAGGGCUAGGGUUCCAAGGUGGCACUUACUCAACAAAAUCCAUUACCCGAGAAAGGAGGUAUUAUUAACCAUUUGCAUCUACAAAUAUACCCAGGCAAUUUAAUAAAAAAAUUAAUUUAAAUACUUAUGACUCAACAGCUUUGCACAUCUUUAGCUAAAACAAAAUAUAUAAUAUUGGUAUACUGAAGUUAUUAAUGAAAAUGUUAAUACAAAUACAACAAACAAACAUUGGACCUUCAUAAGGCUUCUAAUUCCAUCUUGAUCGUACAACAAAUCUGUCUCGUAAUGUAACAAAAUAAAUGGCAUGAGAUCAUUUUGGCCUUCUAGCAAAAACCUGUUGGACAGUAGGCAACUUAGUCCCAGUGGUUGGAGGUUUGNAGUUAGGAGGUGGUCUUGUCGUAGGAGCAAGAACAUUCUGAAUGCUUGUCUUCUGGGAACUCAUUCUGUCAAAAUUGCUUAAAUUUGGUGUUGGUUUUAGUUUGUGUAUGGAAAAUGAAACAUGGGCAUGUGGGUGGUAUGUAUUUAUAGCCAUUAAUUUGUUCAAUUAAUGCAUGGAAGUUACCAAAUGAUUGAUGGUGUAAUAUACAAAGAAAUUCCUGUUAUUUUCAUGUUUAAUUUCCAAACUUUGAAAUAUAAGGGUUUGUGUGAUCAUAUGUAUAUAUAUGCAUAUGUAAGUAGCUUGCUGCACAAGGAUAAAUAUACACGGUGAAUGGGGCCCAAUUAUGUAAUUAACAAUAAGUAUAAAUGUGUAUGUGACUUCAAAUAACAAGUUUGCCUUAAGCUGUAAAAUCUGUGACGAAAAUUCUCAUUCUCAAAUGUUCAAAGUGUUGAACUUUGAAUACGCGUCAUGCAUGGCUCUAGU
rnacentral:lncRNA from 1 species